AACCCAAAUAGAUGUGCCAACAAAUACUUGAACAAAAUCAAGGAUUUUAUUGACUUUGCACGUACACUCAACUCGGGUGCAACUACAAUCUGGUGUCCUUGUAGGAGGUGUAACAAUACAUUAAGGGAAACUAUUGAAAAUGUUUGAUUUCAUUUAGUAAGGAAUGGAAUGGUAGAGACCUAUAAUAUUUGGAACCAUCACGAUGAACAAUUAGACAAUGCUUCGUAUUCAAACGUGACAAGAGUGGGCAAUGUUGAACCUAAUAUGGAUCAUAAUGAACAAGUCAUGGAAAUCUUAAAUGACGUUUUUUCCAUUUGCGUCGACAAAUACCAAUCAGGAAGUGGAAGAUGACUUGCCUACACCAAUGGAUAGUGGACAAUUCAAACAAUAUGAAAAACUAUUAUAAAAUGCCAACCAAGAGUUAUACUUGAGAUGUGAGGGAUUUUAGGUUCUCACAUCUAUUGUGGGAUUGAUGCACAGGAAAAUAAAGUAUCGUAUGUCGAACUAGUGUUUUGAUUACUUUUUGGGAAUUUUCAAGAGAAUGCUACCAAAGGAAAAUUGUUUGCCGAAAGACCAUAGAAACGCUUAAAAGGUGUUGAAUGGUCUCGAAUUGGGUUAUGAAAAAAUUCACGCUUGCAAAAACAAUUUUGUAUUGUUCUAUAAGGAGAUUAAAGAGUUGGAUAAAUGCCUGUAUGCAAUGAGUUGAGGUUUAAAAUGACAUCUCAGAAUUGAUCGACGAAAAUCCCAGAAAAAAGUCAUGCGUUAUUUGCCUUGGAAACCUAGGUUGUAGUGGUUGUAUAUGUCAACGCAUACUGCCACCAAUAUGAGAUGGCAUAAGGAAAGACGAGUAAAUCACGAUGUGUUGAGGCAUCCUGCAGAUGUGGAGGCAUGGAAAGAGUUUGAUUGAACGUUCCUUGAUUUUGCUGCUGAUCCUCGGAAUGUUAGAUUGGGACUUGAUAGGAGCAUAUUUAUGCGCCUUAGUUAGCUAGUUCUUAUGCAUGUUUGUUAUGUUUUCUUAGUUUAAAGUAGUCUUUUAAGCUAGUUUCAUGUGUUUUCAGGUUUUAAGGGCAUAUUACAUAAAAUGAUGCAAUUUGGAGCCUUUUGGAGCAAAAUAGAGCUUGGAAUGGAAGUCACAUACUUGGAGCCAAGGGAAUGGACGAGAUUUGAAGAUUUGAGGAGUCCUAGUUGAAGAAGGAUUCCUAAUCAAUGAAGGAUUCCUAAUUGAAGAAGGAUUCCUAAUCAACGGAGGAGUCCUAGCUAAGGAUGGAUUCGUAGUCAAAGAUGGAUUCCUAGAAGGAUGAGGAUUCCUACUCAAGCAAGGUUUCCUACUUGACGAAGGAGAAUUAAAGUCAAAAAAUCAGCUCAAGUGAAGAAAUCUUAUCCAAAACAUCAUCCAUAACUUUAUCUUAGCUUAUCUUAUCCAAACAAACCUUAUCCUAUCCUAUCUUAUCCAAAUCUGAAUUCAUUGAUAUUUUAGCUGCAAAGUGGGGUUCCUAACUAGACUAGGAUGCUUAAAAUUAGAUUUCUAGAAGCCCUAUCCCUGCACACAUAAGGUGCCGCACCUAUCCCCUUUCUAGAACUUGUUUUCCUUGCCUUGCAAGGCUUUCUAGAAGCCUUAUCCACCCUAUCCCUUACUUGCCGCACUUAGGAGGCCUUUUCCCAUUCAAAAUCUGAUUGUUUUAAGCCUUUUCCUGAUGGGUUUUAAUUAUACAAGUCCAUAUCUGAUUCACCUAGGGUUUUAAGUGCCUAUAUAUACUCAUAUAAACCCCUAGAUCAGAUCACCACCUCUCAUACACAUCAAUUCACGCCAGAAAUCAUUCAUUGCUCUCUGCCGCACCCUUCCACCACCAUAUUCCAUAUUUUCUGCCCUAAAUCAUCCCUAGCCGCACCACCCAUCAACCCUAAACACCAUCACACAUCCCCCAUCCAUUCUACGCCAUCCAUAACCCCAAAGAACCUGUCCAAAGUCCAAGUGCCAUAGCAAGGAGGAAGGGAGACUCGUGGAUGCACUUACUGUCCAAAUUGGAUCGUCUAGGUGUUUUGUUUCCUUGGGUUUUAAUGUCUAAAUUUAUGUAUCUUUGCUUUUCGAGUAUGAGGAACUAAACCCCCCUUGGCUAGGGGGGGAUUCGAAACCAUGAUUAUGCUUGCUAUAUGAUUUGAUUACUUCUAAUUGCGUUUCAUAAGUUGUGGAUUCAAUUUACUUAUCUAUAUGAAUUAAAACUGAUUUGUGUAUGUUGGUUGAGAGUGAACGCUUAAUUUUCAUGCAUAAGUUUGAUGCUAGAAUGUAAGGGAGUUUCACCUAAUAGUUAUGAACUUAUAUUCAUAAGUAGUAAAAGUUGUUGAUCACAAUUGCGUUAAGUGAAUUCUUGGCAUAAGUUUCAUGCGCUUUCAUAGUUACGAGUGCCUCGUCAAUACUUAUGAUUUCCAUUGAACGUAAUGAUCUUUGAUUGUAUCUCUAUUAUGCGCUUUCAUGUAGGGAACUUUUAAGGAAUAAUUUGGUUGCGAUGCGCUUUUUCCGUCCAAUUCAUUGAUAUAAGGGAAAUCUGAAAGUUAAUUUAAGCGGACCUAAUUAACUUGGAGUGUUGAGUAUUCAUGGUUUAUUGAAUUGCAAUUAGAAAUCGUUUUGUAUGCAAGUAUAACAUGUGUGGAGAAGAACCCCUUAGCUAGUCUUCCAUCCAUUCUCUUUCACCAAAUUCGUUUUAAAUUUGCUCUAGUUUACAAAGUUUUGUUUUGUUUUUAAAUUCGUCCAAAAUCAAUCCCCCUUUAUUUUGUUGAGUCAUAGUAGUUAGAAAUCACUUUAGUUUGUGUUUUCAAGUGUCUUAAGUCAAGUUAAAACCAAUUUUCGUCCAAGUUGUGUUUAUUGUUCAAAACUGCCCAGAUUGUGGUUUUAAGGCAGUUUUGAGUGUUUCUGGGCUGUUUUGAGUCUUUAGGUUUGUUUUAGUGUUUUAGAGUUUAGUUUUGCUUUCUUUGAGUCUAGUUUAGCGUUUUAAACUUGUUUUUACGUAUUUGAGUCAGUUUUCAAGUGAUUUAUGAUCGGAUCAUAUUUAUAUAUAUUUUUACUUCGAAUUCACUCGUCUUUUCUUAGUUAGUUCCUUAUAUUUUUGAGCUAUUUACUUUGUUUUUGCGUAUUAUAGGAUUUGUCUAGCAAAGAAAAUAAAAAUAGAACAAGUUAAAUUUUAUGUAAUAAAUUCGUCAAAACUGUCUGUGUAGAUCAUCUUUUAAAUAAAAUUAAUAAAAAUAAUAAUAAUGAUAAAUCAUGAUGAUGUUUGAAACAUCAUCAUGAUUUAUGUUUUGUAAAAGAAUGAAAGGAAUAAAGAAAAGAAAAGAAAAAAAUAAAAAAAAUAGAAAGAAGAUAGCAUGGUGGGAUGGUACCAUACGGUCCAGACGAGGUCCAACUCCUUUGUUAGCCUUUCCUUACUUUCCUUUUUCUUUUGAUUUUUUUUAUGUCUCAUAUAAACUGGAAAGCAGAUAAACAAGGCAAGCGGGAAGCGUGAAAAACGGAGACGGAUCCAAGAGACAAAAGCAGCAAGGCUGCCAGAAAGAAAAAGAAUAAAAAAAAAUGAAGAAGACGCGGGGAGAGAUUGACGCGGGGAGAGAGAGACCAGCAGAAAGGCAGAAAAGAAGAAUCCAAGGGAGACACGGGCCCUUGGCAGGGGAAAAGAAGAGUGCGCAGGGCGCGCAGAAAAAGAAAAGUGGGAGGUCAGAAAACAAGGGUAGAAAAAUAGAUAGAACGGGGAGAGAGAGGAGAACGGACAGGACGCUGCCUUUGGCAGCGUGAGAGCAGCGUAAGACACGGGGAAUUGGAAGGAGGGCAAGUCAGGGACUUGCUAGGCGCAGAAAUAAGCACAGGGAAGAAGACUGGGGGGAAAAAGAGGUCAGAGUGCAACAGCCAGGGAAGAAGAGGAGCACAGAGGCAGAGGGCUUCACUCCGUUCUUAUUGGUGUUAUCUUCUCAAACUCAUGAUUUACGUUUGGUUUAAUUUGUUAAUAAUGUGUAACUAAUUUAUUUUGGCUAGAGGUUAAUUUGAAACCAUGAAUAUAUUUGUAAUAUGAAUUGAUUACCUUCAGUUGUGAUUUCUAGAAUAUAAGUGAAUUUCACCUAAUCGUUAUGAACUUAUAUUCACAAGUAGUGAAGGUUGUUAUCCACAAUCGUGUGAAGUGAAUUCUUGGCAAGAGUAUCAUGCUUUUCAUAGUUACGAAUGCCUCGUCAAUGCUUAUAGUUUUCAC
rnacentral:lncRNA from 1 species